GGUUGAUCCUGCCAGUAGCAUAUGCUUGUCUCAAAGAUUAAGCCAUGCAUGUCUAAGUAUAAACACCUUUAUACUGUGAAACUGCGUACAGCUCAUUAUAUCAGUAAUUAUUUAUUUGAUGGUACACUACUACAUGGAUACCUGUAGUAAUUCUAGAGCUAAUACAUGCACAAAGUCCUGACUCGUGAGGGAAAGGAUGUAUUUAUUAGAUAAAAAAUCAAUGCCGGUUCUACCGGGUUUAUUGAUGAGUCAUAAUAACUGUUCGAAUCGCACGGCCUCGCGCUGGCGAUAGU
rnacentral:rRNA from 1 species